rnacentral:tRNA from 1 species
AAAGAUUUAGUUUAUUCUAUCUAUUGUAAUAUUAAAACAUUGAAUUGUCGAUUCAAAGAA